ensembl:lncRNA
AUGUCUCCAUCGUCCUCCAUAUCCCCCAUGUCCCUAUUGUCACCCUACAUCCCCAUUGUCCUCCAUGACCCUAUUAUGUCCCCAUUGUCCCCAGUGUCCCCAUUAUGUCCCCAUUAUGUCCCCAUGUCCCCAUUGUCCCUAUUGUCCCCAAUGUUCCCAUUAUGUCCCCAUUGUCCUCCAUGUCCUUAUUGUCACCCUAUGUCCCCAUUAUGUCCCCAUUGUCCCCAUGUCUCUAUUGUCACCCUACAUCCCCAUUAUCCUCCAUGUCCCCAUUAUGUCCCCAUUGUCCCCCAUGUCCCCAUUGUCCGCCUAAAUCCCCAUUAUGUCCCCAUUGUCCCCAUGUCCCUAUUGUCCCCAGUGUCCCCAUUAUGUCCCCAUUUUCCCCAUGUCCCUAUUGUCCCCAGUGUCCCCAUUAUGUCCCCAUUAUGUCCCCAUGUCCCCAUUGUCCCCAUUGUCACCCUAUGUCCCCAUUAUGCCCCCAUUGUCCCCAUUAUGUCCCCAUUGUCCCCAUGUUCCUAUUGUCCCCAUGUCCCCAUUAUGUCCCCAUUGCCCCCAAUGUCCCCACUACAUCCCCAACACCCCCAUCACGCCCCCAUUAUGUCCCCAUCACCCCCCCACCCCCCUCCCCCUCCCCUCUCCAUGACGUCACCCCUCCCCUCCCUAACCCUCCCCACCUCCCGAGGGGGGGGGGGGGCUGUGCCGCGCAGGCGCAAUGCGGCGCGGCGAAGCCGGGGCGGCCUUGCCCGGCGCCGGGCGGGGCGGGGCGGGGCGGGGCGGGGCGGAGGGGGCGGGACCAGCUCCAUCCGGGUCCCUCCCCACCGGCGCCAGAGCGGCCUCGGCGGGACGCUUGCCUGGCGUCAGCACCGCGUGUCAGGAGGGGUCUCUUCUGCCAGCUCAAGUCUUCCCCGCAGCCUGAGGACUUUCUGCAGGAGGGAAGGAAGGAAGGAAAGCGCGCUCCUGAAAGUGUCUGCUCCUCACCCUACCCAUGAGCUCGGAUUUCCAGCACUACAGUUUCAGGAUGCCGAACAUCGGGUUCCAGAACCUGCCUCUCAACAUAUACAUCGUGGUUUUCGGCACGGCCAUCUUCGUCUUCAUCCUCAGUUUACUCUUCUGCUGCUACCUGAUCAGGUAAGAAUAGUUGAUUAG